GACUUAGUUGACUCCGGGGUUCGUAUAGGCAGGGAGCACAGGCGUAAGGCUGAGAUCGGCUUCCCUAGAGCCUUUCAAACUGGAUGGACCUGCACUUGUUGCUUAAAUGUCUUGAGGCCUGUGUUUCCACAUCUGGGAAAUGGGGAAAUUGUGGUGUUUGCUGUGAAGCUUCCUCAUUGGCUGAUGAACUCAUCUGGUGUUCCUAAGACCAACACCUUCAGUCCCAUUUCACAAAGUCCAAAUCACAAAGGAGGAAACUAUUUAUUUGAUGAAUGCUGUAUUGAAGGAGGCUCUUCUUCCCUUUAUACCUCACGAUGGUCCAAAGAAGACCAGAUACAGAAGAAAAAGAUUCAAGGAGAAGGCCUCUGUAAGACACAGUCAAAGUGCUAUUUAAGGCUUCAAGAGACCUUGUACAUAUCCUUUUUCCAACUUGAGACCCCAUCCUUGCCAUUAGAAUAAACUAGAACACUGUCUGCUAGAGGAUUCAAGUAGCUAUAUGCAACUUUUCCGUGCUAUAUACAUAUGGAUGAGUCCAGCCAAGGAUAAGCCCGUAAUCAAAUGCUCCAUACCAUCUGUUUGAGAGUUUUUUGAGACUGGGAUCACUGUCUGGAACCACAGGCCGCCCUCUGAAGGCUGGAGAGGUGGUGACAGCUGAACAAAUGAUGGCGCUACGAGUCCAUGGGUUAGGUUACCUGGGCAUGGGAAUCCCCAUAUAGCCAAUGCCUUCUCGGGUAUUAAGUGUCAGAUAAACACAGCUCCUCAACUGCUA
rnacentral:lncRNA from 1 species